UCGCUUUCGCGGAGUACUCCACUGUGUCACGAGCGAGCCUCCAAUUAAUCGCCUGCGUUCCCACUUAGCUUAUGCGUCUCUUCGCAUUCACGGCCUAGAGGCUUAGAGUACCAACCCAGUCCCAAAAACCCCAACCAUGCCGCGGCCACGCGCUCCGGCUUCCGCCGCCGACUUGGUCGCCGCCAAGCUCGCCGCCCAAGGAAUCAGCGCCCAUCAGGUUGACCCCGACUACCUCAGCCACCUCCAGCACCUCCACCCCAACGGCGAUUCCUCCGCCGACUUGGUCGCCGCCAGGCUCGCCGCCCAAGGAAUCAGCGCCCAUCAGGUCGACCCCGACUACCUCAGCCACCUCCAGCACCUCCACCCCGACGGCGAUUCCUCCGCCGACUUGGUCGCCGCCAAGCUCGCCGCCCAAGGAAUCAGCGCCUAUCAGGUCGACCCCGACUACCUCAGCCACCUCCAGCACCUUCACCCCGGCGGCCAUUCCUCCGCCCUCGAGCGCCCUGCCCGCGGCCGUCCCGGCACCCCUCCCCACGCAAACAAGUGCGAGCAGCCCGAGGAUGGCGAAGCCCGAAGCGCCCCCCUCCCCUCCCCAGCCCCGGAAGGAGGCGACCGCCCGGUGGAGGAGAAGAAACUCCCCGCGGAGAUCCCUGGGAACGAAACCGCGGACAUGGAUGAGCACUACAGCACAUUCUGGAGGCACACGCGGGUGGUUGACGACAUGCUGGUGUUCGAGAUGGACGGCGAGGUUCUCAGCUACGGACAGGUGGACAGGGCUGCUGGGACAGACAAGAAGGAUGGGGAGGAAGCGGCUGCCCGGGCUGCUUCAGGGGAGAACGGCGGCGGCGUUAGGAAGGAGAAGGGGAAGGGGAAGAGGAAGGUGGGCAGGCCUGCGCUGAAGGCUCGUGUGCACGAUUCCCCUCCGCAUUGGCAAAAGGGCCGGAAGGAGAAGAAAGGAGCAAAAAAUGGUGGUAAGAAGAUCAAAGUGAUGGAGGAAGAAGAAGAUCAAGGUAGAGGAGUUAAAAAUCGUGCUCAGAAGAACAAGUCUCGUAUGCGCGAUUAUUCCCCUGCGCAUCGGCAGAAGAGUAAGGGAGAGAAGGACGGAGGAGAAAAUGGUGCUGAGAAGAUCAAGGAGGAGGAGGAAGAGGAGAAGGUGCCAGUGAUUAGCACGGGUAGGCCUCCGCUGAACGCUCGUGUUCUCGAUUCCCCUGCGCAUUGGCAACAGGGUUGGAAGGAGAAGAAGGGGGUGAAAAAUGGUGCUAAGAAGAUCAAGUUGGAGGAUGAUGAAGAGAAGCCGUCGAGGGGCCUGCCUGUGAAAACACUGAAUACUGUGAACAGAGAAAGGAAUUCAAGACAUGAUGCUGAGCCUCACGUUGCUUCGGGCUUAGAUGGUGUUGUAUGGCCUACACAUAUCAUGGAGAGGCCAGAUUCAGAAUUCAAGGAAAGGUUGAUCCGUGUUCUCCGCAAACCAUUUAGCCAGGGAGAAUACGAUAUGCUGCUUGGCAAUGCUAGAAUUCGCCUUCCGGCAACAAAGAAAAGGCAGACGCGCAGCGGUGUGAAGUACUACGACUCUACACAUGAAAGGGUGCAAUCAUAUUUUGAUUGUCACCCAGCACAUGUCCAAAGGUCCGUGGGAGUGCAAAGAUAAAUUCCCAACAGAUUCAUUAUAUUUGCUACAGAGUAUAAUAAAUGGCUGUUUUGCUUGAGAAGUUGUCUUUCCCAAUAAGACGAGAAAGUAGUAGCAAAUCAUAUUGAUCUUGCGAAACAAGUACGUGUAGAAAGCACCAGCAAACCCAAUCAGCUAGCUCUGUUGCGUGGAUUUUUCUUCUGGAUGGAGAAUAUUACGAAUGAGGACCAAUUCAGGCCAUGGAGUGACGAUUUCAAACUUUACAAGAUCAUGGAAUGAGAAACUGAGGUUUUCCCGUGGUAUUGUUAUUUGUCAGCGCAACUCGUAGAAGUGAUGCUACGAGAAACUAGUAGUCUAUCUUGGUACUCAGUCACGACCCUGUUUGCUCAGCAUCUCUUUCAGAUAGAAGGUUUAUGGACGGCAAGAUGUUGUCUGACAGACAAUGUAUUGUUUUGUAGUAUAAUGUGCAUCAAGUGCGUAGAUACAACCCGUCAGCUAGCAUAGUUGUAUGUAUCUAUUUCACAUCAGGGAUCUGGCUGCUGUUGAAUUUGACGCGGGGUUUGCCCAUGCUGAAGUUGAGCACUCUGGAUCU